rnacentral:misc_RNA from 1 species
AAGUCGUAACAAGGUUUCCGUAGGUGAACCUGCGGAAGGAUCAUUAACACGUAUCCAACGUUAAACAACCCUGUGAACUUUAAGUCCCCUCUUGCAGCCCAUGAGGAACAGCAAUCCCGGUAAAUCAUUGCCAAACAGUUUUGAUUCGGGACCUCUGUCCAAAAGGAGUUGCAAUCGAAGGCAAGCAGUUAGUGAAUGACAGUGUCACUGACUGUGUAAGGAUAACGCCUCACGGUUGCUAGAGGUCGAUCACCGACCGGCAGACAUGUCACAGGGUCACCACGCCCCUUAAUCACUCCACUUGAAAAUGCCCCGCCUAGUGGUAACGCGCUAGGUAAAAAAAACCGAACAACUGUUAACAAUGGAUAUCUUGGUUCUC